ensembl:lncRNA
UGUGUGUGUGUGUGUGUGUGUGUGUGUUGCAUGCAGCACCUUUCCCUUCUUCGUGUAAAGUCAUUUAUUCGUCUACAUGUCGAUAUUUUGGAGUAAGAAUACAGUUUGUAAGAAAACAUUUAGUUAACUUCUGUCAGAAAACGAGUGAACACAAAAUCUAUUAAAGGUCAAAUGGAAGUGUUGGAAUCUCGUUAUUGUAAAAUAAACCGACUGCUCGUCCGAGCAUCACGCUGCUGCAGCUUUGUGCGAUUUGUAAAAGAGAGAGAAAAUGUGCCGGACCAACAUGUUUAGUGCUCUUUUUUUUUUCUUCGGAGAAUAAUCUUUUUCUGCAAGGUGAGAAUGUGUCGUCUGAAGCUGCAUCUCACAAUCUGUUUUCAUGAGGAUCUGCAACACGUUAUUCACCUGUGAGCAUCGUUUUUUAUACUAAAUUAAAUAUCCUCAUAUCUUCGGAGAAAAACAUGCCCAUUAACCGGUAAUUUGCUUUGAAAUUAUCGCACAUUACGGCUCGUUUGGAACAAAGCAGCAAUCUCGUCCCCCAAAACCAGUUUCAGUUUGAGCUUUCUUUGAAAACGUCCCUGAGCUGCGUGUAUUUUUGUGUCCCAGAUGUUCUUUAGCUUAAAAGAGAUUUGUUUUCAGAACUCCACAUCGUUUGGCUUCCACGCGAGGUGGCGACCCGGCUCGUUUUAUCGUCAGCCACGCCGCUUUCUCCCCUUUUAUCCAAAGCUGCCAGGGAGGAUGCCUGUUGCUAAGCAACGGGAAGCUGCGUGCCGAAACGCUGAUGAAGUUGCCGUAAAACGCGAGCGGCGAUCACCGGCGAAGCAUCAAAUGGCUUAACGACGACGAGGACGAGGAGGAGGAGAGGAAUCCUGAGGAGGGAAACUGCCCUCGGGCGCCGAGUGAUGGCGCACGCCGUCUCCAGGCGGCCGUGGAGCGAAUGUUCAUGACUCUUUCUGUCUCUGUCUCUGUCUCUGUCUAGUAAGCGGGUAAUUAAUCUGGGUCCGGUCCAUCCUGGUCCGGCCAGUCCGGACCCCCAGCCGGCCGGGGCCCGGGUCUCCUGUGGACACUGCAGCAACACCUUCCUGUGGACGGAGUUCACAGACCGGACGCUGGCCCGCUGCCCACACUGCAGGAAAGUCUCCUCCAUUGGCCAGAGGUACCCCCGAAGGCGGAGCAUGUGGUGUUUCCUCCUCUGCUUGCUGUUCAGUAUCUCUGCGGCGGGGCUGAUGGCGGGAACGUGGGCGAAGGCUCCGACCUACCAGGGGAUCUACGCCUCGUGGGCCGCGCUGCUGCUCCUGGUCCUCGUCACCUUGGCCCGGGCCUUCUACUGGGCCUGCAUGAGGGUCAGCCAGCCCCUCCAGAGCUUCACAUAGAGCCCCCCCCCCCCCCCUCAUCUCCCCGUGAUGCUCCUCUCAUUCCAAUCAGGCAGCAGGAACGAUUCCUUUUAAAGAAAGCAAAAACACACUAACAAAAAACAGUUUGUUCAUUUAAAUCCAGAAAGAGAAACUCCUCCCUGAUAUGUUUCUGGAGCUGGAGAUCUAUCGGUAUUUACGAUGAUGCAUAUUAGCCUAAUGUACGGUUUCUCUGUUCUAAUCCCGCGGCCAGUGUGGGGUUCGUUUUGCCUCCCCUCCCUCCCCCGCUCUCUCUGUCCAUUUCAGCUUUUGUCUGCGGUUCCGCUCUGGUAACCUCUCAAGUCUUACGCGAGUGAGUUUUUUUGCUCUCGACUGCAGUUUAGUGUCUCAGCAUUCGAAAACGCUCAAACCGGAGAAACGAAUGGUUUUGUUAAAGCGCCGUUUUAACGAAUCGAUGCCGGCGGACGAUGUGCGGCCGGAGGCACGUCGGAUCAAGUCGGUGUUGAAGUGUGUCUGAAAAAUGUAAUUGGGCGGCACGUGAAGGUAGACAGCGAUGUUUUUAAACUGUGUUUUCUGCUGAAUUAUCCCGCCCCCCCCCCAGGACAGACUUUGAUCCAAAGCAGCUUGAAAGCCUUAAAAGGAGUUGUGGCAAAAGGAUUCUCUCACACACACACACACACACACACACACACAACAAAAGGAGGGCGCUGCAUCGGCCUGUCAGUGAUCCCAGCCUCCCCCUUCAAAGACAGACCUGCAAAGCCAUUUUCUCCAUUUCGAUCUCCUUAUUUCAGUGGGGGGGGGAGUGACACGCACGGCGAUUGAAAAUGGGGGAAUGUUUGUUCUGGUCGCGUAACCGCGUCUGUCAUCCAGAACCACAGCCGACUUUGGUUUGAAACCCUUCCGCGUGUCUAUAUGGUUUUAACUCUGGAACCGACCAAAAUGUGAAAGCCAGCGCGGAGCCGCGUUGACGCUUUGAUAUCUGCCGCCUCGUACCCGCAGACAACCGCGAGUACAGGACGUCGUUUGGAAUUGCUUUCUGUUGUUUGGUUGUAAGCUUUCAUCCCCUCAAACCGCGCUUACAGAUUUGUCGUGGGAGAACACUAAGCUGAAUUUUAAAAGGCCCGUUUGUACGUCUUUGCCGGGCCGGGGUUUAAUCUGUGAAAGCAAAACAACAGUGAGCUUAAAAAUAAAGAACUACGGGCUUCUUUAGCUCCAGAU